rnacentral:lncRNA from 1 species
GUCUUGUAUGAUUUUUAAUUUUAGUUUCUUGUGUAUAAUUUGGAGUUUGGUAUGGCGUCCAUUAUCACUGUACUUGUAUAGAUAUUUGUUUAGGAGCCAGUUGAAGGACGACUCCGGGUGCGGGAGUUUCUUGCUGCAUUCAAGACCUAUUGGUGAUCUUCUGAUGUUGUCUGUUCUAUGGUCGGGUUGUUGUCACUUUGACACAUUCCCCAUUUCCAUUCUCAAUUUUAUUAUCUAUCAAAACAUUGUGUUGUCAUGUAGUAUAUGUACAUUUUGCCGUCAGGGUAUUGAAGACGAUUUC